UACGAAGGGGGCUAGCGUUGCUCGGAAUUACUGGGCGUAAAGCGCACGUAGGCGGUCUUUUAAGUCGGGGGUGAAAUCCUGGAGCUCAACUCCAGAACUGCCUUUGAUACUGAGGAUCUUGAGUACGGGAGAGGUGAGUGGAACUGCGAGUGUAGAGGUGAAAUUCGUAGAUAUUCGCAAGAACACCAGUGGCGAAGGCGGCUCACUGGCCCCGGUUACUGACGACU
rnacentral:rRNA from 1 species